AACGCACCUUGCGCUCCUUGGUAUUCCGAGGAGCAUGCCUGUUUGAGUGUCAUGAAAUUCUCAACCUCUCUGGUUUUAUUAUUAUUAUUAUUAUAAAACUAGUGAGGCUUGGAUUUUGGGAGUUGCUGGCUUUUAGAAGUCAGCUCUUCUUAAAUAUAUUAGCAAAAUCUAUGCUGUCCAUCUUUGGUAUGAUAAUUAUCUAUACCAUUGAGAACCAGAUUCCUUAUAUGGGGAGUUUUUGCUUCUAAUAGUCUAUUUUGGACAACUUGAAAAUUUUGACCUCAAAUCAGGUAGGACUACCCGCUGAACUUAA
rnacentral:misc_RNA from 1 species